rnacentral:rRNA from 1 species
UACAGAGGUGGCAAGCGUUGUUCGGAAUUACUGGGCGUAAAGGGCGCGUAGGCGGCUUGGUCAGUCCCGUGUGAAAUCCCUCGGCUCAACUGAGGAACUGCACGGGAAACUGCCUGGCUUGAGUUCGGCAGAGGAAGGUGGAAUUCCACGUGUAGCGGUGAAAUGCGUAGAUAUGUGGAGGAACACCGAUGGCGAAGGCAGCCUUCUGGGCCAACACUGACGCUCAUGCACGAAAGCGUGGGGAGCAAACAGG